AAUGUAUUCCAAGUUAGCAUUUCAAGUUAGUAUUUCAAAUCAAAAUUAUGAAAAUUACAUGUGAACAAAGAACGCUUCUGUGCACUGACUUCCUCCAAAAAUUAAGAGAUUUUAAACAAUCACUGUUCAUACACAUGCAGUUAACCAAAUGAAAUAAUACACAUUUUAAUUCUAUAAAUUAAUUUUAAAUGCUACUGAAUAAAAAGAAACGUUCCACUCACAAGCCUCUGCUCAUCAUGACAGGACCUGGAUCAUUGAGCUGCAUCUCGUGCCGAUGACGUCACUUCCAGGGAGGCAUGUUGUACACGCCCCCAUCCCUUGACUCCACCCCCACGUUAAAACAGUGCCACAAAGCGAGACGUGCAGAAAAUUAGCGCAAAGGAAAAAAGAGCAGGAGACUGCAGAGGCACCAUCAGACUAGGAAACCAAGUCAGAGCUUGAAGAACAGGAGACCUCCAGGGGAUGCCGGCAGAGAUAGAGACCACAACAGCGGAGCAGGACAACGUUACAGCUAGUUAAAAGAGCCCAUUCGCAAUCAUCAGAUUCUUCUCGCUGGAACUGUUGGGUCAAGUUACAUCAAAGAGAUCAAGAAGGAUCAAGCUCUUAAAAGGGACAGGCUCCAGCUCCCAUCAUCAGAAACAGAUGAUGCCCCAUUUCAUGAAGGAGGACUAACUACUUCAAGACAGCUCUGUGGAGAUUUCCUUUCGCGUACCCUGGCAUAGAGAGAAUAUGGGAGUAAAGUUGACAGAUUGUAUACUAGUUCAAAUGGGAGAUGACAAAUUUGUUUGAAUGGAUAAUAUUGGAUAAUUUGUUUGUGUGGAUGUGGAAUUCAGAAAUAGAAUCACACUUGGUUGAUCUAUGUAUAGGGUGGAUAAACAAGCAGAGGAACCUUUAAAGAGGCAUAUCAAAUCAUGUUUUUAUUUAACCAUUUGUCUGUUUGCAUUAGUGAUUUUUUCUUUGCAGAUGCCCCCUUUUUCUGACAUGUCUAAGUAAAGCCACAUCAAAUGUGCUCCUGUGCUGUGAGCGAAACCAGUUCUACACUCUACUGUAUUUUCCUAUGAAAAGUGUUUUGCUUGGCCUGCACGUGGUUCUCUGCCUGGCUGUCUAUGAAGUGAUGUGGGCUCCUUUGAAAUGAUUCAGCUGAGCCCUGACAGAAAUGCCCUCUUGACCUCUCAUUGGUGGAAAUUAGAUGAGGGUGGAAAGUAAAUGUUAGCUUCAGGUGUAUUGAUUGGCAUUGCCGUGCAUCUGCCACUCUCAUCUGACGCUGACCAUUCUCCAGAAUCGUGAAUUGUUAAUUUCUAAAGGAAAAGCUUUUAUACUACCUUGCAUUUAAUUUAUUUGAUUUCUUGUUCACUAAGUCAAACUUUACCUGGCUAUUGUGCAAUAAAAUAGAUAAAAAAUUGGAGAUAUCUAGAGACCGGAAUAUCAGAGAGACUUGGGGGUGGGAUUCUUUGUCUUGGCCCUGUAAAUCAACAUCAUAAAAAUCAACAGUAUAACAACCACAGAGCAACAUGCUAAAAACAUGCAGAACACGCACGUAGCAACUACUUCAAUACUGUCAUGGCAGCAACAUUUGCAUAAGCAAGUACCUCUUACAGUUUCUUUGGAAAAUGUUAUAUACAUGGAAGAGGUUUAUGUGCAAAUAUAACUAGAUGCUAUUAACACUAACUGCAAUUUACUAAGUUAUAAAUGGGGCAAAAAAUGUAAAUAUUGUUACCUAGAUGUUAUUCAAUACUAGUGGCAGACAGUAGUUGCAUCAUCAUGUCACAGUGUCUGGUCUGUUUUUCCCUGGGUGUCCACUAGUGGUCUCACUUCCCCAUAGUCACCUCCCUGCAGGCACUACAUUUCCCGCUAGCCUUUGUCCCAUGCAUCACUGUUAAUUGCACACCUGGUCUUCUGCACCACCCUGGUGGGCUUCUGUCUCAACCACACGGCCGUGGUGGUCGUCUGCACCGCCCUGGUGGGCUUCUGUCUCAUCCGCACGGCCGUGGUAGUCUUCUGUGCCACCCUGGUGGACUUCUGUCUCGACCGCACGGCUGUGGUGGUCCUCUGCACCGCCCUCGUAGGCUUCUGUCUCAUCCGCACGGGUGUGGUGGUCCUCUGCUCUGCCCUGGGGGGUUUCUGUCUUGACUGCAUCAUAAUGUCACAGUGUCUGGUCUGUGUUUCCCUGGGUGUCCACUCUCAAUUCCCCAUAGUCACCCCACUGCAGGCACUACAUUUCCCACUAGCCUUUGUCGCAUUCAUUACUGUCAAUUGCACACCUGGUAAUUGCAUUCAGCUGGCCCCACUUUCAUCAUUUUCACCUGCCCAUAUAAACCAAUCUGAUUCUAUCUGUUUCAUGGAGUCCUUGUUUCAUGUCACCCUACUUUCUCGUAUUCCCUAGUAUUUUACAUGUUUCUUGUUUUUUGGACUGCUUUUGUUGUUUUUGACCUCUUGUCUGUUUUUGGAUUGAUUCUUGGAUUCCCCAUUAAACAUUGCAACUGGAUCUCUCGUUUUGUGUGUGCGUUCUUAACAGAAGGACUCCAACAUGCCCAGGUCCAGCAUUGUAGGAUUUCAUAUCCGUUCCCCAGUCAGGCCCCCGUGAACACUCCAGAGUCGAGUCAGGCCCCCGUGGACCAUCCUGAGUCAAGUCAGGUCACCCAUUGACCACAGUUGAUCUUCCUGAACGAAGUCAAGCCACAGUUGAUCUUCCUGAACCCAGUCAAAUCACCACGGAUCUACCAGAGCUUCUUCACGUCUCUGCUGAACUUCCAGAGCCUUGUCACGUCUCAGCCAAACUUCCUGAGCACUCGUCCUAUUCUGCCAUGGCCAUGGAGGCCAUCCAGGAACUCACCGCUUGCCCUGUCAUGGCCAUGGAGACCAUCUACCAUCUCAUCAGGGCCACGGAGGCCACCUUUAACCUGUUCAUGUUCUCUAUUUCAGCCGUACCUGACCAGACUUGCUCUCCUGUGCCAUCGAUCCCACUGUGGUGGUCCUUUGCUCCGCCCUGGUGGGCUUCUGUCUCGACAGCAUGGCUGUGGUGGUCUUCUGCGCCGCCCUGGUGGGCUUCUGUCUCGACAGCAUGGCUUUGGUGGUUCUCUGUGCCUCCCUGGUGGGUUUCUGUCUUGUCUGCUCAGCUGUGGUGGUCCUUUGUGCCACCCCGGUGGGCUUCUGUCUAAACCACACAGAGGUGGUGGUCCUUUGCAAUGCCGUGGUGGGCAUCUGUCUCAUCUGCUCAGGUGUGGUGGUCCUCUGCGCCACCCUGGUGGGCGUCAGUCCAGUCUGCUCGGCUGUUGUGGGCUCCAGUUCCGUCUGCGCCAUCCCGGUGGGCUCCAGUUCCACCUGCUCCACCCUGGAUUCCUGCCUUGUCGGCUCUGCCCUGGGCCCCUGAACUUUCCGUUUUCUCCUGGCUUCUUUGUUUUUUUUUUUUUUUUUUUUCACUUCCAGUCUCUGUUUCACUCUAUGGACCUGGCCCUACGUCCCUCCUCCUGGUCCUCCAGCAGUCCACCUCCCUCCUGGUCUUUGUGUUCGGUGGAGCAUCAGGUAGCUGCUCCAUAGAUGGGGGUAAUGUCACAGUGUCUGGUACGUGUUUCCCUGGGUGUCCACUAGUGGUCUCACUUCCCCAUAGUCACCCCACUGCAGGCACUAUAUUCCCCACUAGCUUUUGUCCCAUUCAUCACUCCGGAGUCGAGUCAGGCCCCCGUGGACCAUCCUGAGUCAAGUCAGGUCCCCAUUAACCAUUGAUCAUCUUCAUGAGCAAGGUCAAGUCACCAAUGAUCUUCCUGAGUCAAGUCAAGCCACAGUUGAUCUUCCUGAACAAAUUCAAGCCACAGUUGAUCUUCCCGAAUGAAGUCAAGCCACAGUUGAUCUUCCUGAACCCAGUCAAAUCACCACGGAUCUACCAGAGCUUCUUCAUGUCUCUGCUGACCUUCCAGAGCCUCGUCACGUCUCAGCCGAACUUACUGAGCGCUCGUCCUAUUUUGUCAUGGCCAUGGAGGCCAUGAAGGAACUCACUGCCUGCCCUGUCAUGGCCAUGGAGACCAUCUACCAUCUCAUCAAGGCCAUGGAGGCCACCCUUAACUUGUUCAUGUUCUCUAUUUCAGCCUUACCUGACCAGACUUGCUCUCCUGUGCCUCUGCGCCGCCCUGGUGGGCAUCUGUUUUCAUAGUUUUCACCUGUCCAUAUAAACCGGUCUGUUUCCAUCUGUUUCAUCGAGUCCUUGUUUCAUUUCACCCUGCUCUCUCGUGUUCCCUAGUGUUUUUCAUGUUUCUCGUUUUUUGGACUGCUUUUGUUGUUUUUGACCUCUUGCCUGUUUUUGGAUAGAUUUUUGGAUUCCCCAUUAAACACUGCAACUGGAUCUCUCGUUUUGUGUGUGUGUGUUCUUAACACAUAAGCUUCACGUGCAGGGAUGGACUGGGACUAAAAAACGGCCCUGGACUUUGACUAGGCCCGGCCCAAAGCAAUUGGCACGGAAACUUGACAACAACAACAAUAACGCCUGGCAUGAGUGUCACAAGACUUUAACUGUGGCUCAUGAUACUAUACCAUCCAAAUUAUAGCAAUAGCACUGAUGUUGAUUAGAUGUUGUGUUAAAAUGAAAAGAAAACAAAAACCUCUAGGCUGUGACUAUCUGACUUGGGGCGCUUAAAGUAAUUUACAUUUGAGAUGGUUUUUCUCUGCCCUUGGUCUAAGCUCAACCAGAAUAAACAAAUGAUGAAAUGGAUUUAAAGAAAAAAAAAAAACAGGUUUUAUUCCAAGAUAGCAUGGAAUAGAUUAUAAAAUAUGAUGUUAUAACACAUAACAUCAUAUUAUUCAAUCUAUUCCAUGCUGUCUUAAAAUGAAUUUAUUAAUUAAUAAUCUUAAUUAAUUUAUGCAGCAAUUAAUCUUAGUGCACAAAUAAUAAUGUCACAUCUAAAUGAAAAUACACCAUUACAAAUGUAACUUCAAAUCUUAAAAGUUUGUAAGCAUUAACUGUAACGUUACCAACAUUUUUAAAAGUAAAAGCACAACAUUUUUCUUAAUAUUAGCUACUGCAUGUGACAUUUUACAGCUAAAAUGUUGAAGUUGAGCUGUUUUAACUACUGUAAUCAUUAAAAAUGUAGCAACCUGAAUAUCACUUCCUAACAUCAUCUCUAGCAAGUAACUCUCUUUCUCCUCUCAUGUUCCAUACUUGGAUCUGGAUCUGCCUGUGGAACCACAGUCCCGCAUCUUCACUGGUGGCAUGUUGCUGCAUAACUGACUGGCUCUCACUGCUGCUAAUAUUUAACUGCGAGGUGCUGCUGCUGACUAUGCUGCAAUAUUUCAGAAUCUAAAUUCCGCAGUUUUUUUUUUCUCUCGCGAUCGCCUUUCUCAGCCCCACCCUUUUCUUUCCGUUUUUUACCCGCGGCCGCGUUAUGCAUAUUGUUUGUUUAUAUCUAUGCUUCUUCAAUCGAACGUCUUUGCUGAUGGUUUCUUCCUACUCUUCCACUUCUUCUUCUCCUUACUUGGCGGCCACGGCCUCUGCAGCCAUAGACCGUAAAAGAAAAAGUGCAGCUGGCAUCCAAGGUGCAUUGCUGCCACCUACAGUACUGGAGUGUGAAACAGAUUAGUGGGGGAAAAAAACCAACAGGUGAUGACUGCGUGCGUGGUGGGUGGUGGGCCGGCCGUUCUGUGAUUCUCCAGAUCACACAGAUGGCCAGUCCGCCCCUGUUCACGUGUCACAGUCAAAGGGUGCUAUUAAAUAACUGUUAUUCCACUUUUCAGAUAUAAGGUGUGCCCCAAAUUGCAUACUUAUGCUCUAUUCUAUGAUGUUUUAUUGAGUGUAGUGUGAAUAGUGUAGUCACAAAAAAACAAAAAGAGCACUUUAAAUAACGGCAUGAUACAAUUAAUUGACCCCCCCCCCCCCAAAAAGGGUGGAAUAUUGGGCACUUCAUUUAAUUUUAAUUACAUAGUUAAGUGGGAAUGGCAAUCAAACUCUAUUUAGGAAUGACUAAAUAACAUCAUGUAAUUCAUAUAUAUAUAUAUAUAUAUUUUUUUUUUUAUUCUUGCAGUAUCCUGCCAGUUGUUUUACUGGUUUGGUGGGUGGAGUUAUUGUAAACAGCUUUUGACAACAAGAUACUUUGUGUAAAAAGACACUCAGUAUACGUAUUGAAAAGUCAUAUUUCCCUGAAAAGUUAUAUUUCUGUCUCCAUGUGAAAUUUCUGAAUGUUUUCCUCAAUGCUACAAAAUACACAGCAUUUGUAUGACUUCA